rnacentral:lncRNA from 1 species
GUUCCUGCUCUAAGGUCUGCUUAUUUAUUAUAAUGCCUUCACCACUUAAAGUCCCCUCUGAAUCCUCACUCUUAACUUGACAUGGUUUCACCAGGUAUGAAUGGGAAGCUUGCCCAGGGAAUGCUGCACUGAAAAAUUCUAAAUUAGAGACCAGCUCACAGUUGCACAUGAAUUUGUUUAUCCUCAUGAGUAAAUAUUGAAUAUACGUGUACUCCUUUGAUGAUAUUAUGCAAUAAUACUAUUCCUAUAGUACAGUUUUAUUAAGAUUUUGAAUGUUUGCACGUUGAGAAGUGUAAAGGCCCUGUUUCCGACUUGAACUAAACUUUAGAGCUUCUCUAAGAUCUAUUCCACCAUUUCCAGUGGAUUACAUAUACUCAUGUCUCAAAACAAGGGUACAUCUCUUUCUUUUAGUUUUAGAGGAUUGUAAUAUGGUGAUAUACUUUCAAAAUCAAUGCGUCAAAUCUCAAAUAUUUAAGUAACUUGUGUUUUGAUCAAUAAAUUUCAAAAUUUCUUAAUAACUUUGAUCUUUAAAAUUUAUUACAG